GACGAACGCUGGCGGCGUGCCUAAUACAUGCAAGUAGAACGCUGAAGGAGGAGCUUGCUUCUCUGGAUGAGUUGCGAACGGGUGAGUAACGCGUAGGUAACCUGCCUGGUAGCGGGGGAUAACUAUUGGAAACGAUAGCUAAUACCGCAUAAGAGUAGAUGUCGCAUGACAUUUGCUUAAAAGGUGCAAUUGCAUCACUACCAGAUGGACCUGCGUUGUAUUAGCUAGUUGGUGAGGUAACGGCCCACCAAGGCAACGAUACAUAGCCGACCUGAGAGGGUGAUCGGCCACACUGGGACUGAGACACGGCCCAGACUCCUACGGGAGGCAGCAGUAGGGAAUCUUCGGCAAUGGACGGAAGUCUGACCGAGCAACGCCGCGUGAGUGAAGAAGGUUUUCGGAUCGUAAAGCUCUGUUGUAAGAGAAGAACGAGUGUGAGAGUGGAAAGUUCACACUGUGACGGUAUCUUACCAGAAAGGGACGGCUAACUACGUG
rnacentral:rRNA from 1 species